AUGAAAGUGGUUGUUAAUCAAAACAAUUUUCAUAUUUUAUCUCUCCACAGGCAGGGGUCAGUCAUCGGCUGGAUUGCCCAGGGAUUGGCCAGUGUGGUUCCACAGCCUGAAUUGAAAAACAUGGAGGAGGUGGAGCCUGCAGAGACAACAGAGAUUGCAGAGGUGAGCAAGGCGCCGGAGGUUAAGAAAAAACCUAGCAUUGCAGAGGUGAGCAAUGCGCCGGAGGUUAAGAAAACACCUACCGUGCAUGCUAUCCAAGAUGUCCCAGAUGCAGAGCCUCUUCCUCAUAUUCCUGUGGUGGAGGUUAUGUCAGAUGAAGAGCCUCAAGAAGAGAAGGGAAUCCCACCCAGGGUGUAUGAGUGGAUCAAACAGGGUUUUGAGAGGUGGUUCCACAGCCAGCUGACAACAAAGACGUCUCACGCGAAGGCCGCUGCCCACAGAAAGGUUAUCUUCUAACACGCCGAGAUCCUCAUAUUUAUUAUAGGGAU
rnacentral:lncRNA from 1 species